ACAUCUUUAAAAUGAGACUUGAUGUUCCUACAUUAUCCUUUUAGGACAUGAUUUUAUCUACAAUCUUUAAAAAGAGAGAAGAUAUGCGGAACUGUUCCUUAUGAACAGUAGGAGAGUGUCCUUCCGCAAUUACCCUCGGCUUGGGAUGCUAUUCGCGGUCUUGCCACUGAACCUUGACUCUUCCGUUCUUUGUUUUUCCUGAUUUUACUCUCAUCCUCUUAUUUUGUUGUUUGAGAACACUAGAAGCAUACUCUCAGUGAGCCUCCUCCAUGGAAGCGUACCUCUGAGUUCUCCAUUUUUGCGGCUUCUGGUAUGUCUAUCUAUUUUCCGUCGACACCGCUACUGAGGUAAAGAUAUUUUCUGAACUUUGUGUAAUAGUCUCAUAUCAAUUUCACAAUUUAGGGUUUAUUGUUGCUAAACUACAAACAAUAUCUAUUUUAUGCCUUGCUUUAAGGUUUUUUCCCCAUCAAUUUUUUUUUCCAUCAAUCUGGCGCAAAUUAUCCUGCCAAUUUGGGAAGAACUUCGAACCAAAGAACAAGAAAAAUCCCUUAUUUUUAAUCCCUCAUUUUUAGGGAGAGAAAGAGAGGUAAUUAGCUUAGCAAACCUAGGAAAAUGGCGAUUGCUAAUGUUUCAUCUUCAUUGUUUAAGACUCUUCUUAAUCCUAAGAAGAAUGUCUUGGCUGCUAUGCACAAGAGUUAAUAUGGUUUGAGAUCGUUAUGAUCCAAUGGAAGUUCAUGAUAUCAGAGAAGCCGUAUACGACUAUCCUUGAAGCAAUCGCAAAAGCCGCCAAAGAAAAAACGCCGGUAAUAGCGCUAUACAUCUAUCCUUCAUUUUGCGGCGCAUAUUCAGCACUCUUCGCUCAUCCCUUCCACUUUCACCUUCGUCGUCGUUGCCUGUUGCCUUAUUCUUUUGUUUUCCUCCGUCCUCCUUUCAGCUAUGGGAGCUUUCAACGAAUUGAGGAAGCUGGAAUUGUUCUUUAAGGAUGAGAGCAGGCAUGGCUUUUCAGUUUUUGAUCUUAACGAACUUGUUCAACAUGGUAGCAACGUGUUAUCGAGGCUAUAGUUGGAUUGGCAAAUGCAAUGAUGAAACACUGUAAGAGUGUGGAGGGUUUGGGGGAUGUUGUGGAUAUCGUUGGUACCGGUGGUGAUGGUGCCAACACCGUGAAUAUCUCCACCGGUUCCUCUGGUAUUGGCCGCCGUUUGUGGUGCAAAAGUAGCCAAGGCUUGCAGCGUGUUCUGAGCUUAAUCUCCUCCAUUAAAGCAGCUUCUUGAGAUUUUCGCCCUUUUGAUUCAGGCUUUCUUUUUUGUCGAACAAGAAAAAGAGAGAAAAUGCGAUGAUCGGCGGUGGAGGUAAUUGUGGCGGCGAAGUUUUCAGCAUCAGACUGCUGCCAUCUCUGCAACCACUUUUAUUAUAGAUGAAACUUUUAAACUGAUCAUUAAGGUCGUACCCCUUAUCAAGUUACCGUACUAUACCAAAGCACAUUGAGCUACCUGAUUGGGCUAUGGAUGGUAUCCCUAAGAUUGAGCCUGAGAGCAACCUGCAGCACAUUGUCGAGUUAUGCUUAAUUACUCUGCUCCUCAUACUUGGAACUCCAGAACUGAUAUAGAGAAUGAGGGAGACUUGCAAGAUUGCUAGGUAGGUUUUGGAUGCGGCUGCGCGUAUUAUUUGACGAUGCAUUAUAACAAAUGAGAUUGAUCGAGUAGUCCAUGAAGGUACUAUAGCUGCAGGUUUGUGUUGAUUUAUGACGGGAAUUAAAUAAGUUGUACUGUCGUUUGUAUACUCCUCCCCCCCUCUUGGCACUGGAAAGAGCAAGUUUCUCAUAUGUAUUUCUGACCUAUUCUUUUGAAAUCACAUGCAUUUUUAUUUGCUAAUUUUCUGUACAUCGGGAGAUCCAAGGCAGACAUUAAAAUUAGUUAACUGGAUGAUGUAAGAGAAUUUUGACUUGUGAGUAAUUUCACACAAUUGAGGAAAUGAAGCUGUCACUCUUUCCAGUCCAAAUUAGGGGACAUCAUGUUCCUAACUUUUUCAGAUUUUGCAUUCAAUUCUCCACCUAGAUCUUUUUAUUAGCUUUUUGAGUUUUCUCAGGACUCCUCUGCCAUUCUCUUUUCCUAUUCUUGUUUUCUUGUUUGUUCUUCAAUUUUGCGCGAUUUUCAGUCAGAGAUUAGAGAAACAGAUAGAGAAUUUUAUCACUUCUUCUCUAAGGUUUUAGGGGGUGGCGUCAAAGAGGAUUUUUAACGAGCUAUAGGAUUUGAAAAAAGAUCCUCCAACUUCCUGCAGUGCCGUUCUGCCGGUAUACUGUUUUUUAUUUUUUUGGUAAGUAUUUUUUUAUUGGCUUCAAUUGUUAAACCAUUUCCAUAACCACCAUUAAUUAGAGUGAGACUCGUGAGAGUAUUAGGAUAAGUUGACUAUUAUUUGUGAAACUUGAGAUGUUAAAAGGGCGAGACACAAUUAAAAGGGGUUUUGCAAAAGUCGCUACUUCUUUGUUAAGAUUGGAUAAGGUAGGGAUAACACUCUCUUUGCCAUAAUUGUUAGAAAAAGACCUUAUAAGUAUUAAGGUUUUAGCAUAGAAUCAUAGGUAUACAUAUAUUCGGGAUAUGUUGAGCUCUUUAUAUAAAUGAAUGACUAAUUGAAUGCUUAAUGUGUUUUUUUUUCCCCUUAUGCCUCUUCAUUAUCUUUCUGUGUUUGUGAAGCUCUCAUUUUUCUGAGUUGCAGCAAUUCAUGCUAAAAUUAAUUUGUGAAAGAAUGAAACGGAAAGCAGAUAGUUUCUGUUGCUUUAGUCUCAUUUUUCCAACAAUUCAUAUGGUCAAACUUGAGGGAAGAGACAACUCAGAUCGAGAGUAAUUGAGGCUGUUAAAGCCACCGAGAAAUGUCAGGUAAAGUAAUUUUUAAGCAAGUGUUUUGUUCUUGUAUGUUCUUGUAGAUUGGCAAAGGCCAUGGGUAUUAACAUCAGUUUAACAACUAAUCUACAAGAACAUACAAUAAAAUCAAAAUUUAGGUGGGGGUAAACAAGAACCUUUAAUUUGAAAAUUUUGGAACAUUAAUUAUGUUUAAUUGUGGAAGGGAAACCAAUCUCUCUGAUUGGUAUUAAACUCAUAAGAAAGAAAAACUUAAAUAGUGUUGUGCAUAUAGAUUUGAAAUCAUCUUACCUACAAUGUGAGUUAUUAGCUUCCGUUCAAAGCAAAAUGGUGAGUAUUUUCUCCAAGUUUUUUAGCAGCAAAUCUGGGCACCAAAGAACUCAAAGUCCAAUUGUGAAUGAAAUUAGUUUUCUGGGGUUGCAUGAUUUUCUAAAAUUAGGAACUAUUUGACUAUGAAUUCUGUAUGAAAACUUGGUGUGGAAGUACACCUGAUAUGAUUUGAAGAGGCGAACUAUCUAUUUUAAUUUUCUGUUGUGGUCAGAUGAUUGUGUUAUUUGUUUUACUGUUUUGUUUGACUAUCAAAAGUUGAUUUUGUGGGAUUUCCUUACUGUGUUUGAAUUGGUCAGAUUUUGAAUGUUUCUUUAUGACCUGACUUUCUUAUUAACUUCCUUAGAUCUGCGUGUGAAUUGGGUAGUUAAAUUUUGUUGAUUUUGGGAAAUAUAUCAUACUUUUCAUCUGGAUUUUUUUCAUUUUUACAAGGUUCAUUGUUGACGUGAUUGGUCUGUUUGCUUGGUUUCUGUGCUCUUGAGUUUCCUGGAGAAACAUUACCAGGUUAAGUCAUGUAUCUUUUCAUCUUUGUAGAUCAUUGAGUCUUAUAAUAUCCGAAAUUGUGUCCAAAAUCUUUGUUGGCUGUCAUUAAUUAUGAUUAGAACCCGUUUUUGGUGUUUAGUCUAUGAAUGCUGUUUUUGUGUUAAUGUUUUUUUUUUUUUAUCUUUUCAAAAGAGUUUAUGGUUCUUGAUUUAGGCUUUUGGUAAAGGUCGUUAUUAUCGUUUUAGAAUAUUAGAGUUUCUGGUUAUCUGGAAGUUAUAGAUUAAUUUGUACAUUUGUGUCAAAAGUUGUUUAUGUAUUUUUCCAAUUUGAUUUCUUAAUUGUAACCUUUUUGUACAGUUGUGAAGAUAAGACCACUUAUGAAAUAUUGGGCAUAUUUACUAAAUUUUGAAAGAUUUACCAAGUGGAUUUGUAGAUUAAUAUUGGGCAUAUUUACUAAAUUAUGAAAGAUUUACCAAGUGGAUUUGUAGAUUAAAUUUGUUCGUUUCAUCUCAUCUUUUGACAAAAUGCUGCUUGUUUAUGAUAUUAAUGCUUUUUAUUUGUAGCCACUAUACUAAUACAAAACAUUAUUAACUGAGUAUGUUUUGUUUAUUAGUCGAGUCGGUGAAUCUUGGUGAAUGGUGGUAGUUAAUUUGUAUUGUUUUGUAUUAUUAUAAUGGGUGCAUCUAUAAUGAUAGUAUUGGUAUGUUUAGGUAUGAAUAGGCUAAACCUUAGAAAUUGCUUGUUGAAUAUGAAGAAACUUGUAGAAUUAGAUAGUUUGAUUAGAAGAAUCUAUGAAAUUAGGGAAUCUCAUUGUUCUCUUGAGCAAUUAAGCAUUAGUCCUACGAGUAUGAAUUAGACAAGGACUGAUCAUUUGGUUCGAUGUCUCAUUGUCCGGCAAUAAUUGAGCUAUGUGAUUACAAGAGCUGAAGCAAUGGUUGCUGUUUUUUAGGCCACUUCUUCAUAUGAUUUGUUCAAGUAGGUCCUUUGAGAUCUCAAUAGCAUAUAUACUUGUAGAUUUCAUCAUUGGAUCACUACUAUAAAUUUUGUUUAAACAGUGAACUCUAGACUCUGCCAUAGGUUAUAGUCAUCAAGGCGCACUGAUGGUGGUGUUCAUAUUGUGUAUUUUCUGGUGUGGAUAAGUUGUUGGCUUUAGGCUUAUAGUAGAUCAACAGAAGUAGGAUGGUAGCUUGAGCUUGAGCUUGCAGCAUAGCUACAUGGAGAUAUUUCAUCUUACUUGAAGGGAGAACUGGAAGAAUGAGAGAAUGACAGUGCUAUAUGAUCUUAGUCAAUAUAGAAGUAAAGGUUAUACAGAAUUAUAGAGUACAAUUUCCUUCAACCUUUUUUUCCUUUUUAUGGUGCUUUCUUUCUACCGUGCUAAAAUAAGUAGUAUUGCAUUUGUUUACUUGAUUUUUACCUUUAUAAUUCUAGAAUCCCGUGGCUAGCUGAAAAUUUAGUAAUUCAUUCCUUCCAUUUUACGACGUUCUUGUUACCAGUAGAAAGAGAUCAUUUUUUGCUUUUGUCUGUUCAUAUCAUUUCAGAAGAGGAAGGGAAAGAUUUAUCGAGUUCAAAAUCAGUAUGCCAAGCUGCUGCUGCUAGAGGACGUGAGCAGUCAUUCCAGGAUAAGCUCUUGAAAGAGAAAAAUGAAUCCUAGGAGCAACCAGAGAAACCAAUACAACAGUGCAAUAAACUUAGGUGAAUUUAGGGAUUAAAAUAAAAAAAAAAAUUUGAAUUUUUGUUUUGACUUGGUUGAGAUGACUUAAUUUGUAAUUGAAAAUCAAAAAUAGAUGAGAAAUUUUUACAAGGUAUAAAAUAACCUUGAUACUAUUGAAACUGUA